rnacentral:rRNA from 1 species
AUAUGACUUAGUGGCGGACGGGUGAGUAACACGUGAGCAACCUGCCUUUCAGAGGGGGAUAACGGCUGGAAACGGUCGCUAAUACCGCAUGAUGUGUUCGGAUGGCAUCAUCUGAACAUCAAAGAUUUUAUCGCUGGAAGAUGGCCUCGCGUCUGAUUAGCUAGAUGGUGGGGUAACGGCCCACCAUGGCGACGAUCAGUAGCCGGACUGAGAGGUUGAACGGCCACAUUGGGACUGAGAUACGGCCCAGACUCC